rnacentral:tRNA from 1 species
GCGAGAGUGCCGGAGUGGUCAAACGGGCCGCGUUCAGGGCGCGGUGGGUUAGUCCCUGCGCAGGUUCGAAUCCUGCCUCUCGCA